GUCAAUAACCCACGACUAAAGUCGCAGGCUUGCAAAAGCCUUUGUUGACUAGCUUAAGUUCUUCGAGAACUACGUUAUGUGAGAAUAUAUAGUUACCUGUGGAUGUACAGCCUAGUCUGCAGCUCUAAGGUAAGUGAUUAAACAGUUCUAAUGGGUAGGAACAGUGUUGCUUACAAAUAAACCUCACGAUAACAUUAGCGAAGGCUACAUUAC
rfam:Eubacterium ruminantium strain ATCC 17233 genome assembly, contig: EI46DRAFT_scaffold00008.8